AUGCAGAGCUCUGUGAGAGAGCCUGUCCUGAGGGCAGACUGGAGCCACAAAACACCUAAACCCAGCAACAACCAAGAACUGGCUUUCUCACACCUGCCACCACACACAGGAGAGCCGGGAGGAAAGUUACCACAGCCACACCCCAGGGUGCUUUGGUGCCACAGAUCUUCAGAAGAAGGAUUCUCCAGAUUUCUUCUGUACAUGGGGAUAGCUCCUAUGGUGGAAAAUGGCAAUUUAUGUGGGAUAAGAACUGACCUUACGCAUGCGUCCUCUGCAAGCUUUCUAUGGAAUCCAGGUAAAAAAUGGAAAUAUCAAGGUGAUGGAAUCUGUCUGAAGAAGGGUAGAGCAAUGAUUUUGUGGCAAUUAAAGUCAUUUAAAACAAACAAAAGAUGUUACUUGAAGCCCAAGUUGUAAGGUAAUAGUUAAACUCUCCUUUC
rnacentral:lncRNA from 1 species